UUGGAAAUUUAUUUUCAGUGUCGCAGCGAAAGCGAUAAACACACCGCCUGGGGAGUACGACCGCAAGGUUAAAACUCAAAUGAAUUGACGGGGACCCGCACAAGUAGUGGAGCAUGUGGUUUAAUUCGAAGAUACGCGCAGAACCUUACCAACACUUGACAUGUUCGUCGCGACUCUAAGAGAUUAGAGUUUUCGGUUCGGCCGGACGAAACACAGGUGCUGCAUGGCUGUCGUCAGCUCGUGUCGUGAGAUGUUGGGUUAAGUCCCGCAACGAGCGCAACCCUCACUUUUAGUUGCCAUCAUUAAGUUGGGCACUCUGAAAGAACUGCCAGUGAUAAGCUGGAGGAAGGUGGGGAUGACGUCAAGUCCUCAUGGCCCUUACGUGUUGGGCUACACACGUGCUACAAUGGCAUCUACAACAGGAAGCAAAACGGCAACGUUAAGCAAAUCCCGAAAAGAUGCCUCAGUUCGGAUUGCACUCUGCAACUCGAGUGCAUGAAGCUGGAAUUACUAGUAAUCGUGGAUCAGCGUGCCACGGUGAAUGCGUUCCCGGGUCUUGUACACACCGCCCGUCACACCAUGGGAGUUGGUUCUACCUUAAGGCAAGGUUUCAAACCCUUGACCACGGUAUAGUCAGCGACUGGGGUG
rnacentral:rRNA from 1 species